rnacentral:rRNA from 1 species
UUGAAGAGUUUGAUCAUGGCUCAGAUUGAACGCUGGCGGCAGGCCUAACACAUGCAAGUCGAACGGUAACAGGAAUCAGCUUGCUGAUUCGCUGACGAGUGGCGGACGGGUGAGUAAUGUCUGGGAAACUGCCUGAUGGAGGGGGAUAACUACUGGAAACGGUAGCUAAUACCGCAUAAUGUCGCAAGACCAAAGAGGGGGACCUUCGGGCCUCUUGCCAUCGGAUGUGCCCAGAUGGGAUUAGCUUGUAGGUGGGGUAACGGCUCACCUAGGCGACGAUCCCUAGCUGGUCUGAGAGGAUGACCAGCCACACUGGAACUGAGACACGGUCCAGACUCCUACGGGAGGCAGCAGUGGGGAAUAUUGCACAAUGGGCGCAAGCCUGAUGCAGCCAUGCCGCGUGUAUGAAGAAGGCCUUCGGGUUGUAAAGUACUUUCAGCGGGGAGGAAGGGAGUAAAGUUAAUACCUUUGCUCAUUGACGUUACCCGCAGAAGAAGCACCGGCUAACUCCGUGCCAGCAGCCGCGGUAAUACGGAGGGUGCAAGCGUUAAUCGGAAUUACUGGGCGUAAAGCGCACGCAGGCGGUUUGUUAAGUCAGAUGUGAAAUCCCCGGGCUCAACCUGGGAACUGCAUCUGAUACUGGCAAGCUUGAGUCUCGUAGAGGGGGGUAGAAUUCCAGGUGUAGCGGUGAAAUGCGUAGAGAUCUGGAGGAAUACCGGUGGCGAAGGCGGCCCCCUGGACGAAGACUGACGCUCAGGUGCGAAAGCGUGGGGAGCAAACAGGAUUAGAUACCCUGGUAGUCCACGCCGUAAACGAUGUCGACUUGGAGGUUGUGCCCUUGAGGCGUGGCUUCCGGAGCUAACGCGUUAAGUCGACCGCCUGGGGAGUACGGCCGCAAGGUUAAAACUCAAAUGAAUUGACGGGGGCCCGCACAAGCGGUGGAGCAUGUGGUUUAAUUCGAUGCAACGCGAAGAACCUUACCUGGUCUUGACAUCCACGGAAGUUUUCAGAGAUGAGAAUGUGCCUUCGGGAACCGUGAGACAGGUGCUGCAUGGCUGUCGUCAGCUCGUGUUGUGAAAUGUUGGGUUAAGUCCCGCAACGAGCGCAACCCUUAUCCUUUGUUGCCAGCGGUCCGGCCGGGAACUCAAAGGAGACUGCCAGUGAUAAACUGGAGGAAGGUGGGGAUGACGUCAAGUCAUCAUGGCCCUUACGACCAGGGCUACACACGUGCUACAAUGGCGCAUACAAAGAGAAGCGACCUCGCGAGAGCAAGCGGACCUCAUAAAGUGCGUCGUAGUCCGGAUUGGAGUCUGCAACUCGACUCCAUGAAGUCGGAAUCGCUAGUAAUCGUGGAUCAGAAUGCCACGGUGAAUACGUUCCCGGGCCUUGUACACACCGCCCGUCACACCAUGGGAGUGGGUUGCAAAAGAAGUAGGUAGCUUAACCUUCGGGAGGGCGCUUACCACUUUGUGAUUCAUGACUGGGGUGAAGUCGUAACAAGGUAACCGUAGGGGAACCUGCGGUUGGAUCACCUCCUU